UAAAAAUAACGCACGGGGUUUUCCGCGAUAUCGUCAUCUGCGGAACAUUUGAUUGGUUCCUGUCAUAUUAAUGCGCCGUCGUAUCUCGGAUGUUUCAAAUAGUUCUAGUUUUGGUUUUGUAUUCCGUUUUAGAAGCAUAGAAUGGCAAGUUUGUAAUGUCAAAAUAACGUUAAACGUACGUAAAUGUUUAUUCCUUAUUAUUAACGGAAAGAGUUUAUCCAGGGAGAAAAAAUACUUUGUUUCAUUUCAAAAUUGCUAUAUAUACGAAACUAAAUGUAAGCAUCACUAUCAUUCAUGGAUGAAAAUGGAAGAAGAACUCGAUGAUCUUUGAGAUAAAUCAUCUGAGUAUGAACAGUGGAAUAGACAGCAGAAUGAACUUUAAAAUGUUUUUAAUUUGUUUAAAUAAAUGAUUUAUGGUUUGA